rnacentral:rRNA from 1 species
UACGUAGGGUGCAAGCGUUAAUCGGAAUUACUGGGCGUAAAGCGUGCGCAGGCGGUUUUGUAAGUCUGACGUGAAAUCCCCGAGCUUAACUUGGGAAUUGCGUUGGAGACUGCAAGGCUGGAGUCUGGCAGAGGGGGGUAGAAUUCCACGUGUAGCAGUGAAAUGCGUAGAGAUGUGGAGGAACACCGAUGGCGCAAGGCAGCCCCCUGGGAUCGAGACUGACGCUCAUGCACGAAAGGCGUGGGGAGCAAACAGG